rnacentral:misc_RNA from 1 species
GAUGAAGAACGCAGCGAAAUGCGAUAAGUAAUGUGAAUUGCAGAAUUCAGUGAAUCAUCGAAUCUUUGAACGCACCUUGCGCCCUUUGGCUAUUCUGAAGGGCAUGCCUGUUUGAGUAUCGUGAACACCUCAACUCUCAUGGUCUGCCAUGAUGAGCUUGGACUUUGGGGGUCUUGCUGGCCUACUGUCAGCUCCUCUCAAAUGAAUCAGCUUACCAGUGUUUGGUGGCACCACAGGUGUGAUAACUAUCUACGCUUGUGGUUUUCUGCCAGGUAACCUCCAGUGAUGGAGGUUCGCUGGAGCUCACAAAUGUCUCUCCUCAGCGAGGACAGCUUUUUGAACGUUUGAUCUCAAAUCAGGUAGGACUACCCGCUGAACUUAAGCAUAUCAUAAGCGGAGGA